rnacentral:rRNA from 1 species
CCUACGGGAGACAGCAGUGAGGAAUAGUGGUCAAUGGGCGCGAGCCUGAACCAGCCAAGUAGCGUGAAGGAUGACUGCCCUACGGGUUGUAAACUUCUUUUAUAAAGGAAUAAAGUGAGGCAAGUGUGCCUUUUUGUAUGUACUUUAUGAAUAAGGAUCGGCUAACUCCGUGCCAGCAGCCGCGGUAAUACGGAGGAUCCGAGCGUUAUCCGGAUUUAUUGGGUUUAAAGGGAGCGUAGCUGGGUUGUUAAGUCAGUUGGGAAAGUUUGCGGCUCAACCGUAAAAUUGCCAGUGAUACGGGCAGUCUUUAGUACAGUUUAGGUAGGCGGAUUUCGUUGUGUAGCUG